rnacentral:RNase_P_RNA from 1 species
UCAGUCGGCUGGACGGCCGCUCUCGCAAGGCUCGAAAGGGCGCGAGGGAGGAAAGUCCGGGCUCCACGGACAAACGGUGCCGGAUAACGUCCGGCGGGGACCUGUUCUCGCGAAAGCGAGGAUCGAGCCCCAGGGACAGUGCCACAGAGAAGCAGACCGCCGCGGCGCGUUGCGUAUUUCGCGGCAAGGGUGAAACGGUGCGGUAAGAGCGCACCGCGUUUGCGGCAACGCAAACGGCACGGCAAACCCCACCGGGAGCAAAACCGAAUAGGAAUGGCGCGCAGCCUUCGUGCUGCAGGUCGGUCCGGGCCAGCCAUUCGGGUAGGUCGCUUCAGGCGCCGGGCAACCGGCGUCGCAGAGGAAUGGCCGUCACGCGCAUUUCGUUCGCGGAAUGCGCCAUACAGAACCCGGCUUAUAGGCCGAACUGGCAUA